rnacentral:rRNA from 1 species
GGGUCAGUAGGUUGGUCGUGCCACCGGUACGUACUGGUCACACUGAUUCCUCCUUCCUGAAGAACCGUAAUGCCAUUAAUUUGGUGUUGCGGGGAAACAGGACUGUUACUUUGAAAAAAUUAGAGUGUUUAAAGCAAGCUAACGCUUGAAUACAUUAGCAUGGAAUAAUGAAAUAGGACGAUCGAUCCUAUUUUGUUGGCUUCUAGGAUUGACGUA